AUUAUCAAUUUAAUUAUUGUAUGUCAGAUUCUAAGACAGCAAGAAAACUAAUCGCUCCAACAAUUUAUUUUGAUUAUUCCAGUGAACAAAAUCGAUAUGUGCUGGCGAUUAGUAAAUGUCAAAUGCGUUGAUACUGGUAUGUAGAUCACCAUCUCUCACUAAUUAUUUACAACUACUUUCAACUAAUGUGUGCUUAACGAUCAGGGUACAUUCGUAGUCUCGGUUGUAAUUUACUUACCUUUCGGUGAGAGAUUUCUGUGUAUGUGCAUUGGUAGCACUAAGAAUUUUAUGAUAAUAUUGAAAAUUUCGUCUUUUGUAACACGUUGUAAUAAGUUUAAUGUUAAAUAAAAGAUUAUUUAAUCGCCUCAUUCCAGGUAUCUUGCAUUCUGAAUUAUUAAAUUAUUUCCAUUGAUAGUUGACUGUGAAUGACCAGACGUCCACACUUUUUCUGCUGGUUUAAAUCUGAUGCCGUAUACAAUAUCAUGCGUUUGUGAAUUAGUUUGCUAAAAAAUGAUACUGUCAGUUUAGCUCCUGCCUGUGCUAUAAUUUUCUUUCAUGACUCUUCAUCGUCACCAGCAUCACUGUCUUCCUUCCCAUAUUCAUCAUAAUUCUCUUCUUCUUCUUCUUCUUCUUCUUCUUCUCCUCCUCCUCCAAUGUCUCCAUCUUCUACUUUCAUAAAUAAACUGUUUUCUUUGGGUUCGUCUCCUUCGCCUUGGCCUGUCUUCGAUUCGAAUAGCUCUCCAAUGACUCCAACUUCUGCUUUCAUAUAUGCAUUCUUUUCUUUGGGUUCAUCUAUGUCUGUUUUCUCUCGGAAUAGCUGCCUCAGUCCCUCUGACGUUUGAGAAAUAUGUCUAAAUGCACUUUACAGUACAUAGUCAGCCUUUUUGGCAACUACACCAGGUUAUUGCAGAUAUUUCGUAGAGAUUCCGACACCUCACUUUUAAAACUGAUCUUUCGUGCGUUGGAAUUGGAAGACACGUUGACAACCGCAAUGCUCAGUCUCCAUAUAUACCACAGUACGGAACUGUUUACUUGCAGUUGAUGAUAUAUACAGAGAGGGCCUCUAAUUAUCAAAAUUCAAACCGUGGAAUUCACAAAGACCGUUUAAAAAAACGGAAUUACUCGGAAUUUCAUUUGUGUAGCACAUUUAAAAAAUGGAACGAGUCGAAAUUUCAUUUAUAUAGAGCAUUUGAAAACAAAAGACUGGAAUUUGAUUCACACAGGCCGUUUAAAAAGAGAAACGGGUCGGAGUUUCAGUAAAACAACGUCUUUAAAAAAUGAAAUGACUUGGAAUUUCAUUCACAAAGACCAUUUAAAAACUGCACGAGUUAAAAUUUCAUUAACACAGACUGUUCAGGAAACGAAACGGAUCGGAUGUUCAUUCCAGAACGUUCAAGAAACGGAGAAGGUUAGAAUUUCAUUCACACAGACCGCUCAAAAAUGGAACGGGUCGCAAUUUUAUUAACAAAAAAUCCAGUGCUAAAAGGCUUACGACAAGAUAAAUCCACGCAGAAGUGCAACUGCAAUAAGUUUCAGAACUAAGAGUAAGUAGGCCUAUCAUAUACUGCAGCGCUGUGGUUCAGAAAACAGUUUUGAAAUAUACACGUAAUUUACAUAUAACAUACAGAAUAUCUAAUAUGAGUACUACACUGUUCUGGUAUAACUGAAAUUACUGUAACAGGAAUCUUAUUUCAGUUGACCAUGUAACAUGGGGUACCCAACAUAAAUAUGAAAUACUUGAUAGACUCUGUAAUGUAACAGUUAGUUUCCUAAUUACGGUACGCAUGUUAAUUAUUCUUGGACGGUAUGCUCGUUAAUUAUUCUUGGUUAUCAAGCUAUUAUUUGUUCAGAUAAAUUUGAAGGCUUUAAUAUAAGAAACUGAGAACAAAGUAUCUAAAUAUCUUUUUUUGGAAUCAUUAAAUGAACUUUAGUGCUUUCCACAUCCUUACACUGCAGUGCCUACUUGAGAUACAGUCUUACCCCAUCCUGCUGGGUGUGGCGCAGUGGAAUUACCAACUGGAAGCACUUAGGAGGGCGUCUUCAGCCUCUGCCUUUGCCUCACAAGGAAAAAAACUUGCUCGAACUAGGGGAUUGUGACUAAUUUAAUUUCCUUGAAGAAAAAGCAUAUUUGUUCCAUAUGGCUAAAAUUGUAAGUUUGCUCUCUACUGGUUUCGAAUAUUACAAUCCUCUUUACAGAUGAAAAACAGUGUACAUCAGUGGUUCAAACAUACAUUGACGUUCACUGUAUUUCUCCCGUGAAGAUCAUUGUAACAAUUAAAACUGGUAGAGAAUAAACAUACAAUUGUACAGCUGAUGGCACAAAUAUGCUUUUUUUCAAAUUAAGUGACAGCAGUAGACAGUCACCUACGAAAAGGUCAAACCUGGAUUCUAUGCAAAUGCGACCAGGUUUUUAAAGUAUCGUUAUUUCAAUAAAAUUUGCAGCCUGCGGCUGUACGUUGGUGGUAUUCCCCGAAUGCUGACUCAGGAAAUUUUUUGAAACUGUGUUGGGAGCUAAGAUCGAAAUACGAGUCAGAAGGUAUCUUCCGGAGUCACAAUAGAGUCGCUUUAUAUUUUUUUCCGCGGGCUGCAUUAUUUGUUUUGUCACCGAAACAUGUACCCAUUUCAGAAUCUAUGUCCCCAACAUAAUUUUUUUUUCUACUGUUUAAAGCGACGGUUACCUUUUAUUAUUUUUGCAAUCGCUUCUUGUCCUGCAGCAUUCACACCCGUAGUGUUAAAUCACUUUCUUUAGUUUCUCUGGUGAAACGACAACUUCUUCAACAAAACGCUUCUAGUCAAAAGUACUUUUCGAAUCUCAUAAUCAAUAUUAUAUUAAAUUGUCAGUCUUUUACCCACUAUAAUAAGUGCUUUUAGCAAUUAUUGCUUUUCCAUACAGUCUACUUCAUGAUCAGUGGUAAAACUAUAUGUGAAUCGUGUUCGUUCAUCAGUAAUACAUACUUAUGUACACAAAUCUGCGUUGACGUCCACGCCCAGGAAACGUUGCCUUGAAUUCUUUUGAUUGUUGAUGACUCCAUGCUGUUAUAUGAGCUACGACCUGCCUUGAGGAAUGAUACUUGCAGAAAUGCAAAGCUUUGUUUUAUUUCAGUCGAAUUCUAUGGAGACUGUCUCUGGCUGCGGAAGUCUUAUGCCCAACUUUACAACACACCUUUAAUCCACACAUAUUAAAAUAUGGCACGUGUUCACAUGAACAGGAAUUCAUAAGAACUAUCUCGUGUUUCUCCUCUAGAUGGGGAAGAAUAAGCCUUAACUCUGGCCACUGUCGUGCUGUUGGUUGCGAACGCUUCAGAAUGUAGAUAGAAGAACUUAAUCCACAAAAUCGGUGCAUAUGAAACACCAGGUACUCGUUUGUUUUUAAAAAGUGCUGCGUAUACAGUCACUAAGAGCACUGAAAAUUUUUGGUAAGAUAUCCAGCUUCCACUUUUGUCGAAUUGGAAAUAGAUGGAACAUGAUUUUCUGAAAGUAAGGUAUGGCUGGGAUCAAAUAAAUUGGCAAAUGUCUUCAUGGAUAAGGAAUAAAUUACAUUAUGGAGUUGUCGUUGUAGCACAUCUUAAUUAGCGUGGUUUAAUAAUUGUAUGUGUAUUGUCCACUGCUCUUCAUAAGAAUAAGUGUUGUAUUUACGCAUAAGUGUACAUAUUUAACAAGUUAUGAUUUUAUAAUAAUAAAAAAUCUCAAGAUUGAACAAAUAAAGUAACAUUCAACAAUUUUAAUGUUUGGAUAGAGAGAACUAUGCACCGUGAUAUAUUUUGUCUUCAAAUUUAACGACAGCAGACAAAAAUUAUUGUCUCGCAUUACAAAGCUAGUGGAUGAUAUGCACAAAUUAUUUGAUGAAAAUGUCGCUUAGAAGUAAUUGGACUUCAAUAAUGACAACAUUUUACCAGAUCAAAUAUUGAUUGUGAAGAUCAGAUUGACUCGCAGAGAUGGAUAAAGGAUUGUUGUUGCAGCUAUCCCGAAUGGGGCUACUAAUGGAGCAAAUACUUCAUCACGUUGUCAAAAUGUACAGUGAUAUUCCUUACCUGUUUCCGAAAAUGACUGGAAAUAUCACUGAAUUACUUUUCUUUUGCAGUGACUCUGUGACUGAGUAAGUGCCAGUCUACAAAAUGGCUCUGAGCACUGUGGGACUUAACAUCUGAGGACAUCACACACAUCCAUGCCCGAAGCAGGAUUCGAACCUGCGACCGUAGCGGUCGCGCGGUUCCAGGCUGAAGCGCCUAGAACCGUUCGGCCACACCGGCCGGCGCCAGUCUACAAAAUAAAAAGGUUCGACAUUUAUUCUUAUCUGUAGUAAGCUUUUCUUCUGUCACCAGUCGCUGUAUUCACACCUCGUAAUGAUGUGUCAAUCAAAAAAAUGUCAACUUGUGCCGAUAUGCAAAGUCUAUAUUAAUUAAACGACACCUUCAUCUAACUGGCGGAAUAAGUCACAUCAAAGGUCUGAGGGAGACAACACAGACACGACUAAUAAAACACUGUGAUCUUCAAACAAACCUUACAAAUCCUCGGUCUUAGUGCAGCUUUACCUCUUGCCUUACCAUUUUCGUAUCUCAAUUUUUUUCACUCAUCCUGUAACAUAUUGUCAAAUUAGCCAAAAUUUAACAUCACACACACACACAUACACACACACACACACACACACACACAUACACACAC